rnacentral:rRNA from 1 species
UGCCAGCAGCCGCGGUAAUACGUAGGGUGCAAGCGUUAAUCGGAAUUACUGGGCGUAAAGCGUGCGCAGGCGGUUUUGUAAGUCUGUCGUGAAAUCCCCGGGCUCAACCUGGGAAUGGCGAUGGAGACUGCAAGGCUAGAGUUUGGCAGAGGGUAGAAUUCCACGUGUAGCAGUGAAAUGCGUAGAUAUGUGGAGGAACACC